rnacentral:rRNA from 1 species
CACGGAGUUAGCCGACCCUUAUUCAUACGGUACAUGCAAAACCCCACGCGUGGGGCACUUUAUUCCCGUAUAAAAGAAGUUUACAACCCGUAGGGCCGUCUUCCUUCACGCGACGUGGCUGGUUCAGACUUGCGUCCAUUGACCAAUAUUCCUCACUGCUGCCUCCCGUAGGAGUCUGGUCCGUGUCUCAGUACCAGUGUGGGGGAUAAACCUCUCAGUUCCCCUAUCCAUCGUUGCCUUGGUGGGCCGUUACCCCGCCAACUAGCUAAUGGAACGCAUGCCCAUCUUCAACCGGUUGUCCUUUAACAAAUAUUCCCAUGCGGGACCCCUGUGUUAUAGGGUAUUAGUCCGUCUUUCAACGGGUUAUCCCCUUGUUGAAGGCAGGUUGCAUACGUGUUACUCACCCGUGCGCCGGUCGCCACCAUCCGUAUUGCUACUUCAUGUGAUGCCCCUCGACUUGCAUGUGUUAGGCCUAUCGCUAGCGUUCAUCCUGAGCCAGGAUCAAACUCU